AAGGUGUUUAAUGCUAGCUUUCUUUUUGGUGUUAGCCGGUAAAGCAUGCGGGUAUUUUGAGCGUAGCUUAGUAAUUUGUGGUUCAGUCAGCUUAUAUUAAAGGUUAAAUUUGUGCCAGCAUCUGCGGUUACACUUGAUUUAGGGCCAAAAUAAACCAGAUAGACUACUAAGGUAUAGAUAGUUGAUUUUUUGUGGUGAAAUAGUAAAUUAAGUCGUAGCUAUUAGAAUAAGGUCAGGUUUUACGGAACCAGGAUUAGAUACCCUGCUACUUGUGAUUAACUCUAAGGAUUAAAGAUACAAAUUAUACGAUUUGGCGGCUUGCUAGUUUUAGGGGAGUUUGCUUUUGAUCGAUGAGCCUCGUUUUUUCUUAUUUUAGUAAUCUAUGUACACCGUCAUUUAGGUAGUUUUAGAAAAAUAACUAGGUUAGUUAGUUAAGUAAGCUAGAUCAAGGUGCAGGGUGCUACAAAUAAUAGUUAACUACAAUAAAUAGUAUUACAUAGGCUAGACAUAAAAUUUAUAAUAAGUGGACUUAAUAGUAAUUUAGUUUUGUUUGAUGUCACUUAGUUAGUGUACAAAUUGCCCGUCAAUCUCUUUGAGAUAAGUCGAAACAAAGUAGACACACCUGAAGGUGUGUC
rnacentral:ncRNA from 1 species